rnacentral:rRNA from 1 species
AGAGUUUGAUCAUGGCUCAGGACGAACGCKGGCGGCGUGCUUAACASAUGCAAGUCGAACGAAGAGCGAUGGAAGCUUGCUUCUAUCAAUCUUAGUGGCGAACGGGUGAGUAACGCGUAAUCAACCUGCCCUUCAGAGGGGGACAACAGUUGGAAACGACUGCUAAUACCGCAUACGAUCUAAUCUCGGCAUCGAGGAUAGAUGAAAGGUGGCCUCUACAUGUAAGCUAUCACUGAAGGAGGGGAUUGCGUCUGAUUAGCUAGUUGGAGGGGUAACGGCCCACCAAGGCGAUGAUCAGUAGCCGGUCUGAGAGGAUGAACGGCCACAUUGGGACUGAGACACGGCCCAGACUCCUACGGGAGGCAGCAGUGGGGAAUCUUCCGCAAUGGACGAAAGUCUGACGGAGCAACGCCGCGUGAGUGAUGACGGCCUUCGGGUUGUAAAGCUCUGUUAAUCGGGACGAAAGGCCUUCUUGCGAAUAGUGAGAAGGAUUGACGGUACCGGAAUAGAAAGCCACGGCUAACUACGUGCCAGCAGCCGCGGUAAU